rnacentral:rRNA from 1 species
CCUACGGGUGACAGCAGUGGGGAAUAUUGCACAAUGGGGGGAACCCUGAUGCAGCAACGCCGCGUGGGUGAAGAAGUACUCCGGUAUGUAAAGCCCUGUCAGCAGGGGAGAAAAUGACGGUACCUCUUGAAUAAGCCACGGCUAACUACGUGCCAGCAGCCGCGGUAAUACGUAGGUGGCAAGCGUUGUCCGGAUUUACUGGGUGUAAAGGGCGUGCAGCCGGGAAGACAAGUCAGAUGUGAAAUCCCGCGGCUCAACCGCGGAACUGCAUUUGAAACUGUUUUUCUUGAGUACCGGAGAGGUCAUCGGAAUUCCUUGUGUAGCGGUGAAAUGCGUAGAUAUAAGGAAGAACACCAGUGGCGAAGGCGGAUGACUGGACGGCAACUGACGGUGAGGCGCGAAAGCGUGGGGAGCAAACAGGAUUAGAUACCCUAGUAGUC